GCAAGUCGAACGAGAAAGCUCUUCGGAGCGAGUAGAGUGGCGCACGGGUGAGUAACACGUAGGUAAUCUACCUUUUAGUGGGGAACAACAAGGAGAAAUCUUUGCUAAUACCGCAUAAGUUGGAAACAAGAAAGGGGGCUUCGGCUCUCGCUGAAAGAUGAGCCUGCGCGACAUUAGCUUGAUGGUGGGGUAAUGGCCUACCAAGGCGACGAUCAGUAGCUGGUCUGAGAGGAUGAUC
rnacentral:rRNA from 1 species